rnacentral:rRNA from 1 species
UACGUAGGCAGCAAGCGUUGUUCGGAGUACUGGGCGUAAAGGGUGUGUAGGCGGUUUUUAAGUUUGGUGUGAAAUCUCCCGGCUCAACUGGGAGGGUGCGCCGAAUACUGGAAAGACUAGAGUGCAGGAGAGGAAAGGUGGAAUUCCUGGUGUAGCGGUGAAAUGCGUAGAUAUCAGGAGGAACACCGGUGGUGUAGACGGCUUCUGGACCGUAACUGACGCUGGAGACACGAAAGCGUGGGUAGCAAACAGG